GAGGAAGAAUUAAACGUCGUAGAAAAAAACAAAGCUGAUGAGGAAAUAAACGACGAUGAAGAAACGUUUUAUGACGCCGAAGAAAGAUCGAAUGAAAAAGAGAACUCUUUCAAAGAGGAAAAAGAAAAAAUUACCAGAGGUGGCACAAAGCGCGCCGAACGUGAUGACAAAUAUAAAUGGUCGGCAAGACGAAAAAUAAUUAAAAAAAAAGAAAGAAGAG
rnacentral:lncRNA from 13 species